CAGGAUGAAAAAGUUCACAAGCCUGAUGAAAAUGUAACUGUCUCUCAGGGGCACAAUGGUUUUGUGUACAUCAGAGAAUACUUGGAAGAGUUGGGUUGUAUAAGAAAUUCAAUUCUCACAGGACAUCCACUUGCACUUUGCUUGAACGCUCAGAAGGCCACAUCAGUAUCUUCCACAAAGAAGGUUCUACCCACUACUGCAAUCGCAAGUGACUGGAAUGCACCAGAUACUGUUGGGAGUAUGCAGUACAGCAGGGCUAUCAGGGCCAGUGAUUCUGAAGAACGGCAAGUAUUUUUUUUUUUUAA